GCGGACGGUUGGGAUUGGAUAGUGGGGCGCGAGGGCGGCGGUUGUGAUUGGAUUGGGGCGCGCGAGGCCGGUCGUGUCGAGAGAAGGGGGCGGGGCCAAGGUGGAACUGCCGGAAGUUUACAUUUUCGAGGAAAGCGACGAGGGCGAUUUUGCCGAGGAAAUCUGCUCAAGUGUGCGAUUACACAGCGAGCGAGCGACUGAGGCCGCACGUCCUCGGUCUGUCAGUCAGGGAGGGUCUGAGCAGCGCCCGGUGGCGGUCCAGCCCGGUCUGACUGGUCUCCAGGGUGACAAGGAGUCGAGGGCAACGUCUAGCCGUUGCAGGACUGUCAGGAAAAGAAAAGUUUGAAGCUUCGGUCUGGAAAGAAGGGGACUAAACAGGUUAAUUUGCAUCAGA